rnacentral:rRNA from 1 species
GAUGAACGCUAGCGGCAGGCUUAAUACAUGCAAGUCAAGGGGUAGCAAUACACCGGCGCACGGGUGCGUAACGCGUACACAACAUGCCUUUAACUGGGGGAUAGCAUUGGGAAACUGGUGGUAAUACCCCAUAACAUUGCGAGAUGGCAUUAUUUUGCAAUUAAAGUUCCGGCGGUUAAAGAUUGGUGUGCGUCUGAUUAGCUAGUUGGUAGGGUAACGGCUUACCAAGGCGACGAUCAGUAGGGGGUGUGAGAGCAUGACCCCCACAUGGGUACUGAGACACGGACCCAACUCCUACGGGAGGCAGCAGUAAGGAAUAUUGGACAAUGGAGGCAACUCUGAUCCAGCCAUGCCGCGUGAAGGAUGAAGGCGCUCAGCGUUGUAAACUUCUUUUGAAUGGGAACAAAUGGCCCGACGUGUCGGGUCUUGAGGGUACCAUUAGAAUAAGCACCGGCU